rnacentral:rRNA from 1 species
AUUGAACGCUGGCGGCAGGCCUAACACAUGCAAGUCGAACGAGUGGCGGACGGGUUAGUAAUGUCUGUGAAACUGCCUGAUGGAGGGGGAUCACUACUGGAAACGGUAGCUAAUACCGCAUACCAUCGGAUGUGCCCAGAUGGGAUUAGCUAGUAGGUGGGGUAAAGGCUCACCAAGGCGACGAUCCCUAGCUGGUCUGAGAGGAUGACCAGCCACACUGGAACUGAGACACGGUCAAGACGCCUACGGGAGGCAGCAGUGGGGAAUAUUGGACAAUGGGCGCAAGCCUGAUGCAGCCAUGCCGCGUGUAUGAAGAAGGCCUGCGGGUUGUAAAGUACUUGCAGCGGGGAGGCGUUACCCGCAGAAGAAGCACCGGCUAACUCCGUGCCAGCAGCCGCGGUAAUUC